CCGGUAUCAACUUCCCGGUAAUGAUUCCUUUUGGCAAUUAAUGAGGAAAUUAUUUGAUAAUCUAAAGUGUACAUACAAGGCGAUAAUGAGAAACCCAAAUUGCUCUCGUGCCCUCGUAAUUUUUGCCACCGACACCUUGACUUGCUAUCAAAUAUAUGUGUAAAGUUACAUCUUACAUGUCGUUUCAGCCAUGUGUCUGACUACUUCUAUCAGCCAAAACAUAUUAGAAUCUCAGGCAUAAGUGGUAUU
rnacentral:lncRNA from 1 species